GACGAACGCUGGCGGCGUGCUUAACACAUGCAAGUCGAACGAAAAUACCAAGCUUGCUUGGUUGAUUAGUGGCGAACGGGUGAGUAACACGUGAGUAACCUGCCCCUUACUUUCCUGGAUAACUGCUCGAAAGGGUAGCUAAUACGGGAUAUUCUGACCAGCCUGCAUGGGUUGGUUUGGAAAGGUUGUUUUUCUGGUAAGGGAUGGGCUCGCGGCCUAUCAGCUUGUUGGUGGGGUGAUGGCCUACCAAGGCUUUGACGGGUAGCCGGCCUGAGAGGGUGGACGGUCACACUGGGACUGAGAUACGGCCCAGACUCCUACGGGAGGCAGCAGUGGGGAAUAUUGCACAAUGGGCGCAAGCCUGAUGCAGCGACGCCGCGUGAGGGAUGAAGGCCUUCGGGUUGUAAACCUCUUUCGUCAGGGAACAAGGCACUGCUUUUGUGGUGGUGUUGAGGGUACCUGGAUAAGAAGCGCCGGCUAACUACGUG
rnacentral:rRNA from 1 species